AACGAACGCUGGCGGCAUGCCUAACACAUGCAAGUCGAACGAUCACUUCGGUGAUAGUGGCGCACGGGUGCGUAACGCGUGGGAACCUGCCCUUAGGUUCGGAAUAACUCAGAGAAAUUUGAGCUAAUACCGGAUAAUGUCUUCGGACCAAAGAUUUAUCGCCUUUGGAUGGGCCCGCGUUGGAUUAGCUUGUUGGUGGGGUAAAAGCCUACCAAGGCGACGAUCCAUAGCUGGUCUGAGAGGAUGAUCAGCCACACUGGGACUGAGACACGGCCCAGACUCCUACGGGAGGCAGCAGUGGGGAAUAUUGGACAAUGGGCGCAAGCCUGAUCCAGCAAUGCCGCGUGAGUGAUGAAGGCCUUAGGGUUGUAAAGCUCUUUUACUAGGGAUGAUAAUGACAGUACCUAGAGAAUAAGCUCCGGCUAACUCCGUGCCAGCAGCCGCGGUAAUACGGAGGGAGCUAGCGUUGUUCGGAAUUACUGGGCGUAAAGCGCACGUAGGCGGCGCCGCAAGUCAGGGGUGAAAUCCCGGGGCUCAACCCCGGAACUGCCCUUGAAACUGCAGUGCUAGAAUCCUGGAGAGGCGAGUGGAAUUCCGAGUGUAGAGGUGAAAUUCGUAGAUAUUCGGAAGAACACCAGUGGCGAAGGCGACUCGCUGGACAGGUAUUGACGCUGAGGUGCGAAAGCGUGGGGGAGCAAACAGGAUUAGAUACCCUGGUAGUCCACGCCGUAAACGAUGAUAACUAGCUGUCCGGGCUCACAGAGCUUGGGUGGCGCAGCUAACGCAUUAAGUUAUCCGCCUGGGGAGUACGGUCGCAAGAUUAAAACUCAAAGGAAUUGACGGGGGCCUGCACAAGCGGUGGAGCAUGUGGUUUAAUUCGAAGCAACGCGCAGAACCUUACCAGCCUUUGACAUCCUAGGACGGUUUCUGGAGACAGACUCCUUCCCUUCGGGGACCUAGUGACAGGUGCUGCAUGGCUAUCGUCAGCUCGUGUCGUGAGAUGUUGGGUUAAGUCCCGCAACGAGCGCAACCCUCGUCCUUAGUUGCCAUCAUUUAGUUGGGCACUUUAAGGAAACUGCCUGUGAUAAGCCGGAGGAAGGUGGGGAUGACGUCAAGUCCUCAUGGCCCUUACAGGCUGGGCUACACACGUGCUACAAUGGCGGUGACAGUGGGCAGCGAACUCGCGAGGGUGAGCUAAUCUCCAAAAACCGUCUCAGUUCGGAUUGUUCUCUGCAACUCGAGAGCAUGAAGGCGGAAUCGCUAGUAAUCGCGGAUCAGCAUGCCGCGGUGAAUACGUUCCCAGGCC
rnacentral:rRNA from 1 species